rnacentral:rRNA from 1 species
UACGUAGGGUCCGAGCGUUGUCCGGAAUUAUUGGGCGUAAAGGGCUCGUAGGCGGUUUGUCACGUCGGGAGUGAAAACCUACAGCUUAACUGUGGGCUUGCUUUCGAUACGGGCAGACUUGAGGCAUGCAGGGGAGAACGGAAUUCCUGGUGUAGCGGUGAAAUGCGCAGAUAUCAGGAGGAACACCGGUGGCGAAGGCGGUUCUCUGAGCAUGUUCUGACGCUGAGGAGCGAAAGUGUGGGGAGCGAACAGG